UGUAUCAAGGGAUUGAAUACAAUAAAAGCCCAAAAAUUUGCACUGAAGUGAAGUGAAGUAACAAUGUCUGUCAGAAUCGGUAAAGAGGUGGUCUUGAAAGAAGAAUUCGUCUGGUACGGUGAGAGUCAGUCUGAAUACCGAAAAAGAAUGUUAACUUGGAUACCAAAAUAAAUGGUAACACAGAAAUAACCAUGGCCUGAAUGCCG
rnacentral:lncRNA from 1 species